ensembl:lncRNA
CACGUAUCUGCUCCCUACCUUGAAGAAGAACAAGCCCACAAUUGGACAGAAGCUAGGCGUUUUGUCCCUUCCUCCUACAAAGGAGCUGGCAUAGGUCUGGGCUCAACAGAAGGCAUGGAGAGCUUAUCCCAGCAAGAGUUCAGGCCACAAACACACUCAGUGACUCGCAGGGAAGGAAGGAGCCUGGUUCAGCUCUGUCUUAACAGCAAUACACCUCCACAGUCCUCUGGCAUGGGAUUUGUUAGAUUUGGGUCACAAGCCCCAGCAAGUAUGAUUCUCCGUGUAUUUGCGACCAACUUAUUAUGAAGCUGUGCUGGUUUUCAACAGAUUGGCUAUAAUUUGGCUUUAAGAACAACUGCUACUUUGAUAAUAACUGAUACGUUACACUGUAAAGUGAUGAAUACAAUAUGUACACCACUCAAUUAUAUGCUCAUCUUGAUGUCUUUAUGAGAAUUUGCUUGGGAAAAAAUGGUUUUAACGUUGUAUUUUUAGAACAGAAAAUGUGUAACUGUGACCAAAAUAAAACAGACACUUAAAGCGAACCAACUGCCUAAAGCUGGUGAAGAAGACAUGACCAUAUCUCAAGUGACUCCUACACUUCCCACAGCAUAGCAAAAGUACUAUUUUUCUGUCCAAGUGUAGGCGUUAACAGGUUGGUUAAAACCAUAAUAUAAAUAGUCACAUGUAGCCGCAUCAAACGACAAAAAUCCGAUAUUUGACUAAUUGACUAUGUUAGUUUAGUUGUUUAUGUGAGAAUGUGUUAAAAGCAUCAUUUCUUAUAACAUUUAUUUGGAGUCUGAGGUGACUGUCUGUGUUAGUGUUGGGUAAGAAAAGUUGAUUUGAGAUCUUUCCUCAAAUAGACCUAAUCGAUAACACAUUCAGCAUGAAAUGGAAGUGAGUAUUAAGAAAACAGGGAGAUAGAAUAAACACCGAUGUGUUGAUUACCUGUCACAUGGCCCAGCUGGUCUGAGGUCUGUGUAAACAGUCAAAUAUUCUAACAUGAAAAGUCCUGAGAGAACUACAGUGAGUCAACAAAUGGUGCAAUCUAUGAUAAAGUGGGGUGAAAGUGUGUGUGUGUGUGUGUGUGUGUGUGUGUGAGAGAGAGAUAGAGAGAGAGAGAAGGGGAAAAGGUUAUUUACAUUAAAUUAUGUGAAUUUAGCACACUUUAUUUAUUUAAAUAAUUCACUGGCCAUGGUCUUUAAAAGGAUCAUGUGGUGCGACCAUGAUUUAGCCACCAAAUAAUAUAUUUCCUUAAUAUGGUAAAAAAAAUUUUUACAAAGUAUUAGACAUAACUAUGCAUUACUUAUGAAUUUCAGUAAGUCAGCAACAUACAUUUGUCUUGUAACUAAACCGCUUCCCAAUUUAUAAACUUUACAGACUUGUUACCAACAUAAAACGAAUUGUACAAGACUAAUAUUCACUUGAGCAUAGUGUGUCAAUUAAUAACAUUAGCCACAGAACCUACAUUUCUUAUUUUGAAUUGUAAUAUUCUUAUUGCAAUUACUGCUUAUGCCACAUGAUGGGUGAUCACACCAAAUGAUGAGAAGAGCAUGCAUGGUGUUAAAGAACACGCAAUGAGUGUUAAAAUCACUUUCUACUUUCCAUGGAUGGAGGUGUAAAGUCUAACACAGCCUUAGCCAUCUUUUUUCUCUCCCUGUAACUUGUGGAUGCAGCCCUCCAUUUCUCUUUCUGCUACUCCCUGCCUGUCUUUAGCAGGUCACUAUUCUUCACUGAUAGCUAAAACAAUAGCAUACAAUGUUUUGACGUAAAUUAGAUAUGAAAGAGGCCAAUUAAAAUGCAUGGCAUGAUAGAUAAGAACAGAAGCUGUGCCCAUGUAAUGGAAAACCAAAUUCAUCUUGCGUUUUUGAAACAAGAGGUUGACGUAUCAUGUAAAACAUUGUUAAAGUUUCUUUCACCCCCAAUUCAUACAGUCAAUACAGUAUAUGGAAGCUAAACUGCAAAAACAGCCCUUCAAUUAUUCAUAUGUUGUGACUCAUGUAUAAAUCACCUUUUUUUCAUGACAAUAGCAGGUCAGUCCCACCUAAUUAAGAUGAAACGAUAAUGAAUGUUUCAUCCUAUCCCUAGCGUAAUACAGAACAACUGUCUGAACCAUCUGAAGGUGUUUAUUAUAUACUGAUCACAAAUUCACAGUAAAAAACAAACAAACAAAAACCCAAUAGGAUUUUCACGUAGGCUUUUGGAUUAUCACAAAAAACAAUCUCUGUGAUCCACAAACGUUUACAAUACUAACACGUUUUGACCAUUAAGAUAAUUUUCAAUAAUGAAGACAACUUUUAUGAAGUUUGAAGCCUAAAUACGAUCCCCAGAAAUAAACAGCUAACCGUACACUAUAAACAAAUUACACCACGGUCGCUCGACUUCAACGUCACCAUCACCAAGCUUCAGACAAAUUUCCAAACUUGAUUCAAAAACAUUUUCCACAAUACGGAUUUACUCUGUGAAUGAAUCUUCAUCCACCUUUUUUUUUUUGGUAAUUGUGCACAGCACACCUGAACCAGUUUAUCUGCAAAGACGUUUCCUGUUCGGCGUGAUGACGUUUAAUGUCCCUGACAACAUCUGUAGUCCCAUUUAGCAACAUGUUAGUGUCAUGAUAUUCCCUCGGCCAAGCGCUGGAGCUGGCAUCGUGCUCUGAAACCCGAAGCGAAGCUCACAGCACAAGCGCUAAAAUGCUAACUAAUUUCUGGGUUUUGGCAUACAAAAUGACGUCAUCCCCGUGCCACUCUAUGGUUGUAAGUGGCUGCAAGUUUAGGAAGCGCUUGAUUUGAUAUGCAGCACUGUUUUCUAUGAGCGGAGGAUGAACUUUAAACAUCAAUAUCACAGUUGAUCAUAUUCAUGUAAUUGUGGGCAGUCAAAAUCAUAAUUGAGAUCAAUAUUCGAUUAAUUGUGCAGCCCUAGUUAGAAGAGUUCUCAUCAUAAUCAGCCAAUUAGAAAUAUAAUACGGCAAUGUUAACAUCGUAUGUUUUUUUUUAAAUAUAUGUCAAACCUUUCUUUUCUUUUAGCAAGAUACUCAGCUCUUGCUUUAGGAUCAGAGUUAAUCCACUGCCUGUGGCAGACAGUUUUUUCUUUGCUACUCAGUUGCAUCUAGACAACAGUUUUCUGUUUUCUCAUAAAAUUGUACAGAAUAUAAAUAAAAUAUUUGUCUACAAAUCUGGCUUGAAAUUGCAGGAGAAAGACGUAUGUAUUACAGACAGUGGUCGCACCACAUGAUUUUUGGUCACACUACAUGAUAUUUUCAAGUUUCAAUUAAAGUCUAUUAUAAAAUCUGUAAAAGAUAUAGAUUUAUAGAUAUAAUUUCGUUUUCAUGAGGUCUUACCACAUGACAGCCAUAUAUAUGGCAACUAUAGAACAGUCUAACAAACUAGAUCUAGUCUAAACAAGACUAGAUGUUUCCAAGGAUCAUUGGCAAAUUGUGCUAUGAAGUGACUUUUUGUCAUUGAAUUAUUUUCAGUAUAAAAGUCUCAAAAUGGCCUUUUCAUGAUGGUUGCACCAAAUGAUAUUUCAUAAAAUACAUGACCUCUAACAUCACAGUGAAUUAUGAAACAGCUAUAAAUGCUUUGCAGUUAUGUUCACUAAUGUAAAAUACUUUUGAAAUUAUACUAAAUAUGGCAAAAUUGAAAUAUACAAAAAUGUAGUGUUAAACAAGUUUUCAGAAUUGCACUAAUAUUAAGGCAGUUACACCACAUGAUAAUUUGACUAACUAAUAAAAGAAAAAUGACCAAUACAUAUUGUGUACAUAUAUGAGAGCUAAUAGAUAUGUAUGGUGUUUUGUUAUGCAUUUGAAAGUCAGAAAAUCUCUGUCAUGUCAUCAACUGAAAUAUUUUAGUUCCUUAUAUGCUACCAAAGCCUAAAGGAAGUGCUCACUGUUAACUUUGAAGAAAUCCAAAGCAAGUGGCAAGGUCAGUAUAACUCUCUACCAAUCCCCAACAUAAAAUAAUCAACAGAGCAGAGGGUUCUGAUAACAGAGACAGAAGCAUAUGUAACACGCUCACACACACACACACACACACACACACACACACACUAUUAACAUUAGCAUUUACUUCAUCAAAUAAUAGUAACCAGGAAAAUAAGCAGAAGCAAAAUCUGCUCACAAUUACUUCUUGUUCUACUGCCAACGCAGAGUAGUAGAUGAAGAAGUAGGGAUGUACCUUGUAAAUGAGAGUCAAACUGCAAUCUUGUGCAGUGGUAGGUGUGCCAAGUGGCUAGCACCUUCUGCUAUUCAUUACUUCUGUGCUUACAAGCUCCUGCUUGCAUGGGUAUUUACGUUGUAUAAAAGAAUGCAAGUAUUGUGUAAUAAUAAAUAUAGCUGGCAUGUUAAGAGAUUAAGCCCUACCAAGUUGCAAAUGAACUCAAAGCUUGUUUGUUAACAUAUGUCAUGGUGAUACACAUAAUUUAUAGAACAUAAUAUUUUCUGUAUACAUGUAUAUAUGUGUGUGUGUGUGUGAGAUAUAUAUAUAUAUACAUACACACACACACACACACACACACACACACACACAUACAUACAUGCAUACACACACACACACACACACACACAUACCUAUACACACACAUACAGGUGCAUCUCAAAAAAUUUGAAUAUCAGGGAAAAGUUUGUUUUUUUCUGUAAUUUAAUUUAAAAAGUGGAACUUUUAUAUAUUCUAGAUUCAAGCCUUUUUUUGUUUUAAUCUUGAUGAUUACGGCUUACAGCUCAUGGAAAUCAAAAAUCCAGUAUCUCAAAAUAUUGGAAUAAAGAAUUUAUAAUACAGAAAUGUCCACCUGAGAAGAAGAGCUCUAAUCAGAUCAUUAACUCAAAACACCUGAAACAAAACUCUUAGUGAGAAUUUAAUCUCUUAGACAUAUUGCUAUUUGCACUUCUGGUUAGAUGCUAACUACAUUUCAUGGGCUCUGUACUUGUACUCUGCACAAUGACAGUAAAGUUGAACCUAAUCUAAUCUCAUCUAAUCUAAACAAUUUAUGCUGUUGGGCGACUGUGACUCAGGUGGUAGAGCGGGUUGUCCACUAAUCGUAGGGUUGGUGGUUCGAUUUCCGGCCCACAUGACUCCACAUGCCGAAGUGUUCUUGGGCAAGACACUGAACCCCAAUGGCAAGUUAGCGCCUUGCAUGGCAACUCUGCUACCAUUGAUGUGUGAGUGUGUGUGUGAAUGGGUGAAUGAGACACAGUGUAAAGUGCUUUGGAACCACUAAGGUUAAAAAAGCGCUAUAUAAGUGCAGACAAUUUACCAUUACACAUUCAGUGCUUGGGUCCCUAAUCAUAAUAACAAUUUCGUUGUUUUUGUUGUUGUUGUUAGAUCUGAACAUCAUGUAAGAGUUUAGAAAGCAGAAAGAGCAACCAGGACAAAACAACUCAGCUUGUUUAAUGCAUCCUGUCAAAUCCCUCAAAACUCUGGAUGAGGUCUUCAACGCUAAGCAGACACCUUCCCUACACUUGAUCCUUAAAAUGAUUCUAGGUAAGCCAGAGAUGCUGCAGACACACAGCGAUUAUAUGAUGUCUGAGAAUUUGUGAUUGGAAAAGGUUUUAGCUCGAUUGGCAGAAGAGGCAGGUUUCAUUCCACAGCUACAGUAUCAGACAGGAGGACUGACUCUCCCUCUUCCAGCCCCACAGGCAGACAGGCAGUGCAAGAAAAGGAAGGGAGUGAGGAAACAACUCACUGUCUUUCAAGGUCACUGUAAACUCAAUGCCAGGGCUACCCCAUGUUUAUAAGACUUAGCGUGGGCUGGCGAGACGUGCAUGUGCGCAUGUGAAUGACUCGAGUGGCUGAAUUAUAUGCAAAAUAGACAAGAAAAGCGUCUCAACAAUAUUCCAUGCACUUUUAAACUAGCUGCCGUUCUUAAAUGGGAAUAGGCAGAGACAUCAACUCAUAUUUAGAGUUGUUAAGUAUGUAAACUAUAACCUUGUCUAGGCCCACUGCCCAGUUCCUGGUGUUCCUGGUGUUUUCAUGUGUGUUCAUCAGAUAUCAUGUCAUCAUGUCAUAAACUAUUCCAGACUGUAAUAGCACCUGCCAGGACAGUUUAGAGAGGACUGAAACAAAGGAGAUCUAUCCUGUAUCAUCACUGUCCUGUGAGGGAACUGACAUUUCCUGGCACAUGGAGCAGAUGAACCUGAAAAACAAACUGUAUCAGAGACUAAAAUCUCUGUGCUAUGAUGUUUGGUUGUUUCAGCUGUGCACUGUGCUCCUAGAAGUGCAGCAGGAGGAAACAGAAAGAGAAAGAAAGAAAGAAAGAAAGAAAGAAAGUAAGAAAGGAGGAAAGUGUUGCCCAUAAACCAGCAGUUUAACGUUUAAGUCUCUAAACACACUCACAGAGAGCAAGUUGUCUACGAUUGCCACUCCUUUCCUGCUUGUCAUUUCUGGUUAUGCCAUUCUGUCUGUUUUCACACCCACAGACUAACACAAGCACCACUCGUAGUGCGGCUGUAUAUACACUCAGAGAGUGAAAGAUUUGCCUUCAAAAAAAAAAAAAAAAAAAAAAAAAAAAAGCAGAUUACAUACCAGCCUGGCUUCACUGGCUCCUCAGUCAUCUGCUGCGUUCCUCGGUGCUUGCACUUCCUUUGUCCAUUUCGAGGGAGUCAAGAAUACGAGAGACGAAACUGCCUAGUGAAACUCCCAUCAAUCAGAAGACACUCGCUGAUAGAGCGUAUGCUAGGAGACCUACUGAUGUAAGCUAGUCACCAGAGAAAAUACCCAAUCGUGACGCAUAUCCAGGAACAAAAAUAGCACUGGGGCCCCUAGAGGGAUUAUACAACAGGCUACGUUCAGACACACUUUCAGCGCUCGGGCAGCCUCUUGCACUCUGCUGGUUCUGUUUGCUUGCGCAAAUGAAGUUUACAUUUUUGUGAAGCGAGACAUGACCGCAAAUAGACGAGAUCUAGGGAACGAAGCACAGACUGAAAGCGGCAUUUGAGUGUGUGUGUUUGUGCUUGUGUGUAUGUGUGUGUAUGUGUGUGUAUGUAUGUGUGUGUGUGUGUGUGUGUGUGUGUGUGUGGUUUAGACACAGUGCCUUAUCAGACCAAACUUUAACCAUAUGGCCUCAGUGCCUUUGACCUGGGGUUGUCCAUGGCAUGCCAAGCAGGGCAUAACAACAAGGCAACACUUCCUCUUCCUGCCCUCCCUCAUUUAUAGCUCUCCCUCAGCACUAUAAAUAGCUCACCAGGCCAACGUGUGCAAAAUUCCUUCACAGUUGUGCUUUCUCCUUUCUAUUCCUGGCUGGCUGGACUCUUAUAUGAUUGAUUUGUGGAUCACAGGAAUGUGUUGUGUAGGUGUUUGUGCAGGAGAGCGUAUGGGGGGGAAAGUAGCAGCACUGUGACACCAUUCAUACUAGGGUUACGAGAAUGAGUUUCUAACCAACGCUCCGCUGCUGAGGAUUUUCAUUCAUCUACAGUAUGUUAAUGCACUGUAUUUACCUUUAUCAUACUGUAUCUCACAGUAACUGUUGAUAUGGUGAUGUUCUGGUGUUGAGAUUUUAUUUAGCAUUUCAAAAGGAGUUUGUAACAAUCAGAGGUGAAACUGUAACUAAGUUUUCUGCCAUGUUCCAGAAAAACCUCUCAUGUCACCUUAAAACCUACUAAAAGAUCUGUUUUGUGUGCCAGUCUUGUAGAUUCACGGACACUUUCGAAUGUAAGGUCAGAGUUUUCGAUUUGUGAUGCGGCUCAUGACAACAUUCACAACGACGGUGGACGGUUUAAAGGGUUACAAGGCUCAUCAGUGUGUUUCUGUGUUUGUCGCUGUGCGUGAAAUCGCUAAACAUUUUACAGAUUGACUUAGAAACCUGACAGACAAGGAUGUUUUGGCUCUGACACACACACACACACACACACAAAAUCACAAGUUGAGUUUAAAACAUAUCACACCACCCAGUGUGGAUUAUGUUCCUACAACACGCACGGUGACGUUUUAUUCCUCAUGGACUAUUGUCUGAAGCUGGACGUGACAAAGGAACGAGCCGCACCGCCUAACUUUUUGAAAUCAAAAGUGUCAAGAAAUGCAAAAGAUUUAUUAGUCAUGAGUGACGGCAGUGUAGGAGUCACCAGGUAAUAAAACUGCAACUGAUUCAUACAAUUACCACGACACUCUUUCCACAAAACCAACUAUAUUUGCAAGCACACCGCUUUAGACCAGUGUUUCCCAACCGGGGUGCCAUCUAAUGAGAGCAGGGGUGGAGUGUAAAAAUCCUUCAAACAUUUCUAAAAUGCUGAAAUGUGUAUAAAACAUUUAAUAUAUAUAAUAAAUAUCUGAUGUCUGAAAUAAUAACACAGACACAGAAAUAAGACAAACACACACGCAUAAUAAUAAUAAAAAUAAAUUAUAUAUUAAAAAAAUUAGAAUUCCCUCCUCCUCGAAUCCCCUUGCUGACCUGUCAGCAGCACGUCAACAUCAGUAUGCGUAACAUAUGCGUGUGUUUUAUCCUAAUAAUUAGCGUGUGAUGAUGCAUGUGUAGUGCAAAAGAAUAUGGACAGAUUUCUUAAAAGAAAAGCUCCAGAUGCUUCUGGACCAUCAACUUCAUCCUCAUGUAGCUAACACUGUCCAGCAUUAUUGUUUGUGUAGGGUGCCACAAAUUUUAGAAAAUUUGUGAAUUAGAAAAGGGUGCUGUCGCUGAAAAAAAGGUUGGGAAAUACUGUUUUAGACAACUCGAGGUGAAUCAGACAACUUUCAUUCCCCUAUCAGCACUACAUGUUUGCUCCUGAGCUGUCAAAUGCAUUCUGCUGUUUCUUGUACAAUCCAAUUUUCACAGCUAAAUAUACGUGACCUCCCCUGACUGCCAGAGUGGAUGCUGUGAUCCCAUGUGGAUCUCUCACAAAGAGACUGUUGAAGAAAAAGAAAAAACAACCAGCGGUUCUGAUUCUCCAGGGCUCAUGUUCCCUGUCUAAGCAAGUCUUACUGUAAACAACAUCCCCUAGGGAAGUGGCUGUCACAAAAAAAAAAAGCAUGUGAUGCCUAAAGAGGAGCCCUAUAUGAUAUUGUGGUAGAGAGAGCUGAAAAUGGCACUGGAAACACAAUCCUUGGGAAAAAAAAAAAAAGAUACAAAGUUACUAAUACAUUAUGACUGUUAUCAGAGACAGAUAAAUUUGAUUGAUGAAGAUUUUUUGGAGUGAAAGGAAGUGUCUGGAAAAAGAAGAAAAAAUGAUAACUACAUGUUUGUCACACUCUUUAUGAUAGAAAGUGUCUUUUCUAAAAACUAAUUUCACUCCAUGCUUAAAUUAGCCUAGAUUUAAGGGCCAUAUGGCACCAUUUAUGGCGUACCAUGGACCGUUCCCAAUCAAUAUGUUUGGUGCUUAUUUCAUGUCAAAACCCCAUAAUUGAAUUUUAUCAUCAUUUUACAAUACGAAGAUAAAUCUACUUCUACAGCUCUGUGACUGGUCUGAUCCCAAACUCUUGUUAUAAUGUGCUUUAUGAUCAACUGUAUAAUAACCUGAGAGCGUAUGAGCUUAAAAUAACAACAAAACACAAAAUACGCUAUGUGGCCAAAAGUAUGUACACCCCUGACCAUCACACCCAUACUAUAUGUGGUUCUUCCCCAAACUAUUACCACAAAGUUGAAAGCACACAGAUGUAUAGAAUGUCUCUGUACGCUGUAGCAUUACAAUUUUCCUUCACUGGAACUAAGAGGCUCAAAGCUGUUCCAGCACGACACAAAGUGCACAAAGCGAGCUCUUCCAGACACGUGUGGCUUGUCUGUGUCCUGCACAGAGCCCUGACCUCAACCCCACUGAACACCUUUGGAAUGAACUGGAGCCUCCUCGACAUCCCAAAAUCAGUGCUUGACCUCAACCUCACUAACGCUCUUGUAGCUGAAUGAACACAAAUCCCCUUCCCAAAGCCUUUCCAGAAGAGUGGAGCUUAUUAUAACAGUAAAGGGGGAAUAAAUCAGGAAUGGAAUGUUCAACAAGGACAUAUGGGUGUGCACAAACUUUUGGCCAUAUAGUGUAUUAGAUCAGGUCUUUAUCUUCUCCAGGCCUUUAUCUGUGGUUUCUUAAUAUGAAAUAAGCACCGAGCGUAUUCACUGAAAACCACCGAAGAUGAAAUGCUAUGACUGAUGCUGCAUUUCUUCAUGCUCCUGCAAUAGCUCACCAUGUAAUAGAUCUAUCUGCUCUUCUAGCAAACAGACCUUCAGUACAUCUUUACUUCAUUAAUAUUUAAUCUUAAGUAUUGCUGUAAGCAUGUAGGAAAACUCUUUCUCAGUAACAAAGCACGGCCAUCAUACAGACUGCUGAAAUGAGUUCACAAGUAAUAUAUUGGGUUUUUCAUUCGUUUGACUGUUUUUAUGACUGACACAUCACAUGUUUUAUACAAAUGUAAUGUAAUGUUGCAGUUGUCCGACAUCUCUUCCGAUAUUAUGUACAUUAGCAAUAGGGCACAGAUCAUUACAUCUUAGCUUAGCAUAUUGUAAUUAGCUAGCGACACUGCAGAUUAGCAUAAUGAUAGUCGUUGCUAUGAAUCAUGAUUAACUAUUUCACCAUAACUUAAUUUACACGUAAUACACUGGAAGUGAAUAACAGAACUGCUUGUUCUAGAAGGUUCAAACCACGCAUUUUACAAGGAAUGGUGCUCAUGUGAAGCUAUCACAGCUAGCCAGCUCUACUAGCAGACUCACACCAAGGAAUUUGAACUGAAUUGACGCUCCCUCAUCAAACUCACUCCGGAUGACGCACUACAUGUGUUCCAGAUAAAAUCAGGAAUGUACCUCUUAUCUGGAUUCUAUAUUUAUACCAUUUGUGCUGGAAUGAAUAAAUGAAUGAAUGAAUGAAUAUACAUUAUUCACCAACUGUUAAAAGGAAUAUUUCUCGGCAAUACUUGGCUGAGAAGCAGUGUUGCCAUGGCAAUUCUGGCAAUGCUGACAGCGAUGGCCAUGUUUGAACCUAUUUGGAGAGUUUCUGUGAAAAGGACAUGGCAAACAAAGUUAAAAGCAAUUCAUGUGCUGCUUUCAGAAUAAGCAGCCACUCGUCUUCCACUGUUGGGCUUUUCAAGGGGAACAUAAAUGUACUGUACAUAUGGAGGCAAAAUCUCAAGUAAAGAACAAGGUAUUGAGCUUUUUGAUGCAAGUUUUACUUGACUAUACAUAGAUUUAAUAUGCGCACUGAGAAUAUAGUUUCCCUCAUUCUAUUAAAGUUGCACAUGCAGAGCAUUUUCUAAUUAUGACAGAAGGCAUUCCAGAAUGUAUAUAUAAUAGUUGCAUCAGGGCUCCAGAGUGGUAUCACACUCUAAUCCUAGCGAUGCUACAGCCAUCCGAGGCUGGGAGCCAAGGGAGCAGAACAUACAGACCUACAGUACAUAUUCUUGAUAUCUAGUGACACUGCAAAGUCCUAUUUGUUAGCAUCAUCAUAGGCAAGGCUAUCAAUUAUGGGGGUGGUAACUGGCCAAAAUGGUAACCAAAAUGGGGAUUUCACAAAUAAUAGUUUGAUACCAGUCAAAAUAUACAACAUCCAAAAUGGCUGACAUCUUGCUGAGCUAAUUCAUGGAUGAGGUUGUGAAUUUUGCUUGUCUUAAGAAAACAUGUAGCUCAAAUGGGUGCCAUAUUUGGUGCAUAGAGGUGAUACUGGAUGCCCAAGCCCCAAGGCCUCACUAUCGGCACAUACCAUGAACCACACAUUUUAAAUUUGUCCCACACAGCAUGAUGUUCAGUGCAAUUAUGUUACAUUUCCUGUCUGAGCGUUAAGUUUUUUUUGUUUGUUUGUUUUUUUAUCACCUCACCAUGGCAACACCAUGCAAGAUAUCAGCAUUGACUAAGCAAUUCAUCAUUAUGCAUUAUAUCUUCACUUUCUGUUGCCGGUUGGAGGCAGUAUGAAACCGAAUCACUACUGGCAUGUGUGUGUCCCCAUGCCCCAUCACUGAACAUGUAAUGUUAAAUUUUGGGCCACGUUGUAAGAUACAGUGGAAUUAUGCCUCACUUCCUGUUGGUGUGGUGUAACAUGUUAGUUGAUUGUCUGUCUCACUAUGGCAACGAUAUCAUGUCUAAGAUAUCAGAAAGUCCUUCACAAUUUAACAUCAUGGACCUCUUUGCAUCAUAUUGACCAAAUUUGUUUUGAAUCUCAUGAAUCCUCCAGAAAUUGUUUAAAAGUUUAAUACCCAUCAAGACACACAAAAUUCAAAAUGGCUGACUUCCUGUUGGGUGGAGUUAAUAUUAAGAAUAGAUGCAUUAACCAAGUUACUUAAGAGAAAGCACCUGCAGUAACAUAAAAAUGUGUAAGGGUGAACGAGGACACAUUUGAAGGAUCUUUUUUUUUAAUGAUUUCUUUUCUAAAUGUACAUUUUAUUUUAAUUCAUCAUUAGCAUAAAAUGUGCCAUACAGAGACCAUUGUGUCUUUGUGACAGAUUGCUUCUAACCUCGAUCACACAAGUGCUACUUUCGUAUCAUGAAAUUGACCUCUUGAUCUUAGCAAACCCUGUAGUUUUUUUUUUUUUUUUGUCAUCAGAUGGCCAGGAGCAAGCAUUUGGUAAAAGCAAUCACUCUGCAACUGCUCAAAAACAAACAAUCAAUCUCUUAUGUGAGCAGCGCACAUUGGAGUACAAGGAAGUAACUGACCUCUCCGGGAUUCACUUUUGCCUGUUACACAACCUGCUGGUGCUGUGUUUUCCUCUGGAGCAGCUGUCUCUCAUUUCAUCCACGGGAGUGGAAAAAAAACAUUCUUGGUCAGGUACCAAAGAUCACACCUCCCCUGAAAAUUCCCAUCAGUCCAUGAACUCUCAUGUUGCCCUGUGGCACCUGUUACUUUAGAAGCCAAGCAUACCGAGGCUGAGCUACUCCUUGGCCUUUGACCUCUCCAACACAACUACUCCAACACCCACACAGCAUUCAGUGAUCACCCAAAGGAGCACAACCAUAUUUAACCUCAGAGUCGGAUCAGCUGGUCAUUGCCAGGAAUGAGGACCAGGGGCUUCCCAAACAGACAAACACCCCCUGUUCCAGUGAAUGCCCCACAAAUGCCUCCAGCCCUAAAGCAUGUGAAGCCUUGGGUGACUCCUACAACAGCAUAACAAACACAGCACUAUGCUUUAGUGCACAGUGAAUAACUCAAGUUUUUCCAUGAAUACCACCUCUUAUGUGGUGUCCAAAACCGGAUACAAAGUUCCACUGGAUCACCUGCGGCCAUGCAAAAUAAAAUUUGGCAAAUUCUCUUUUUCUGCUUCUGAAUGAACCAG